AUGAAGCGAGAAGUCGACGCGCCGAUCUCGGCGUCCGGCCCUCCGCAAGCGCCCGCGGGAGUUCGGGUUCCGGACCCGGUCCGAUCCCGUUCCCUCCGUGGGGCUGUUUGCGACCGGGAGGUGUCCUCGGACGGCGUCGUUUUUUCUCCAGUCCGCGACGCUACGGCUUGGAUGGCCUACCCGACCCGUCUUGAAACACGGACCAAGGAGUCUAACAUGCGCGCGAGUCGUUGGGUCGGACGCGCUCCGCUAAACCCAUAGGCGAAAUGAAAGUGAAGGCCCCCCCUGGGUGCCGAGGGAGGACGGAGCGAGUCCCGUCGCCUUCCGCGUCGGGACGGCUCCCGCACUCCCGGGGCGUCUGAUUCCUCACUGCGAGGGAAGGCGCACCCAGAGCGCACACGUUGGGACCCGAAAGAUGGUGAACUAUGCCUGGCCAGGACGAAGUCAGGGGAAACCCUGAUGGAGGUCCGUAGCGAUUCUGACGUGCAAAUCGAUCGUCGGAGCUGGGGAUAGGGGCGAAAGACUAAUCGAACCAUCUAGUAGCUGGUUCCCUCCGAAGUUUCCCUCAGGAUAGCUUGCGCUCGGAGGAGAGUCUCAUCCGGUAAAGCGAAUGAUUAGAGGCCUUGGGGCCGAAACGGCUUCAACCUAUUCUCAAACUUUAAAUGGGUGAGAACUCCGGCUUGCUCGAUGAACUUGUUUGAAGCCGGAGACGGGGCCACGAGCCCCCAGGAUCGGAGUGCAUAGUGGGCCACUUUUGGUAAGCAGAACUGGCGCUGUGGGAUGAACCAAACGACGGGUUAAGGCGCCCGAAUCGACGCUCAUGGGAAACCAUGAAAGGUGUUGGUUGCUUAAGACAGCAGGACGGUGGCCAUGGAAGUCGGAAUCCGCUAAGGAGUGUGUAACAACUCACCUGCCGAAGCAACUAGCCCUGAAAAUGGAUGGCGCUGAAGCGUCGUGCCUAUACCCGGCCGUCGCGGCAGGGCGGGCCCCGCGAGGGGUGCCGCUUGAUGCGGCGACGAGUAGGAGGGUCGCGGCGGCGUGCGCAGAAGGGUCUGGGCUCGAGCCUACCUGGAGCCGCCGCCGGUGCAGAUCUUGGUGGUAGUAGCAAAUACUCCAGCGAGGCCCUGGAGGACUGAUGUGGAGAAGGGUUUCGUGUGAACAGCCGUUGCACACGAGUCAGUCGAUCCUAAGCCCUAGGAGAAAUCCGAUACCAACGGCGAUGGGAAGAAAGAAAGAGAAAACGUCCCAUUGAUCGGGCGAAAGGGAAUCCGGUUCCUAUUCCGGAACCCGGCAGCGGAACCGCUGUUUGUCGGGCCCUCACAAGGGGUUCGUCAGGGUAACCUAAAAGGGCCCGGAGACGCCGUCGGGAGCCCCGGAAAGAGUUUUCUUUUCUGCCUGAGCGUUCGAGUUCCCUG
rnacentral:rRNA from 1 species